UACGGAGGGUGCAAGCGUUAUCCGGAAUCACUGGGUUAAAGGGUGCGUAGGCGGUCUGAUAAGUCAGUUGUGAAUUCCUCGGCUUAACCGAGUGGACUGCGAUUGAUACUGUCAGACUUGAAUCAGGUUGAGGUAGGCGGAAUGUGACAUGUAGCGGUGAAAUGCUUAGAUAUGUCAUAGAACACCGAUUGCGAAGGCAGCUUGCUGGCUUAGAUUGACGCUCGAGGCACGAAAGCGUGGGGAGCAAACAGG
rnacentral:rRNA from 1 species